rnacentral:rRNA from 1 species
AGUGAACGCUGGCGGUAGGUCUAACGCAUGCAAGUCGAACGGCAGCACAGUAAGAGCUUGCUCUUACGGGUGGCGAGUGGCGGACGGGUGAGGAAUACAUCGGAAUCUACUUUUUCGUGGGGGAUAACGUAGGGAAACUUACGCUAAUACCGCAUACGACCUACGGGUGAAAGCAGGGGAUCUUCGGACCUUGCGCGAUUGAAUGAGCCGAUGUCGGAUUAGCUAGUUGGCGGGGUAAAGGCCCACCAAGGCGACGAUCCGUAGCUGGUCUGAGAGGAUGAUCAGCCACACUGGAACUGAGACACGGUCCAGACUCCUACGGGAGGCAGCAGUGGGGAAUAUUGGACAAUGGGCGCAAGCCUGAUCCAGCCAUACCGCGUGGGUGAAGAAGGCCUUCGGGUUGUAAAGCCCUUUUGUUGGGAAAGAAAAGCAGCAGGUUAAUACCCCGCUGUUCUGACGGUACCCAAAGAAUAAGCACCGGCUAACUUCGUG